AAACAUGGAGAGUUGACGAAUACUUUACAUGUAUUCAGAGUGUGUGCUCAUACUCAAUUUACUUGUAUCCGACGUAGAGCUGCCCAACUCUAAGCCGGGGCAACAAAAGGCGCGCGGGUUGACAAUUGUAAGCACAAACAAGAACAAUUACAGGACGAACAACGUGCAGGAUGUGAGUAGUUCGCCCAGAGAAAGGCAGAGACAAUGAGAGAAAGGCAGACAGAGAAGGAGAGGGAGAGAGAUUGAGUAACAGCAGAUGCCCCCCCUAUAUGGCAGCUCGGCAGAAGCCUUCAGCGUGCGGCAACUGGCACACUUUAUGUGACUCGUCCGCAAAUUGGUGCCUUUCAUUUGAUGUAACAUGGGCAUUUGUGGACAUCAUUUGGCUGUUGCCGCAUUCGUGCUGCAGGAAUCACAGCUAAGUUUUACUGAAAGCCACUUGAUUUUAUUAGGAACGCUCAUAAAGUUGUCGCCAUCGUCGUCGUCGUCGCAUGGCUGGGACUGGCUGGGGGUGUUGAAUGUGCUCAGCAGUUUUUAUAGUGCCAAACACCGAAUGAAUGUUAAAUUUGCAAUGCCUCUUGUGUAAUAACACUCCGAUAUGCUGAAAGUGAAAGUGAACAGUGAAAGCUCUCCUAAUGGACUCUACUUUGCGGCGGACUGAACUGCAAACCAUUUUCUCUUAAUAUUUGUUGGAACAAUUACGACUCUCCUGGACGGUUCUCCUUUAAUUCCUAUCAAUUGUGAACAAUUAUUCCCUUAGCCCAACUUAAAAACCCUUUUC